AGUGGCGGACGGGUGAGUAAUGCUUGGGGAUCUGGCUUAUGGAGGGGGAUAACGACGGGAAACUGUCGCUAAUACCGCGUAAUGUCUAAGGACUAGAGGGUGGGACUUUCGGGCCACCUGCCAUAAGAUGAGCCCAAGUGGGAUUAGGUAGUUGGUGGGGUAAAGGCCUACCAAGCCGACGAUCUCUAGCUGGUCUGAGAGGAUGACCAGCCACACUGGAACUGAGACACGGUCCAGACUCCUACGGGAGGCAGCAGUGGGGAAUAUUGCACAAUGGGGGGAACCCUGAUGCAGCCAUGCCGCGUGAAUGAAGAAGGCCUUCGGGUUGUAAAGUUCUUUCGGUGAUGAGGAAGGGUGGUGUUUUAAUAGAACAUUACAUUGACGUUAGUCACAGAAGAAGCACCGGCUAACUCCGUGCCAGCAGCCGCGGUAAUACGGAGGGUGCGAGCGUUAAUCGGAAUGACUGGGCGUAAAGGGCACGCAGGCGGUGACUUAAGUGAGAUGUGAAAGCCCCGAGCUUAACUUGGGAAUUGCAUUUCAUACUGGGUUGCUAGAGUAUUUUAG
rnacentral:rRNA from 1 species